GACGAACGCUGGCGGCGUGCCUAAUACAUGCAAGUCGAGCGAAUCUCAGGGGGCUUGCUCCCAAAGGUUAGCGGCGGACGGGUGAGUAACACGUGGGCAACCUGCCUAUAAGACUGGGAUAACUUCGGGAAACCGGAGCUAAUACCGGAUAAUACUUUUCUACUCAUGUAGGGAAGCUGAAAGACGGUUUCGGCUGUCACUUAUAGAUGGGCCCGCGGCGCAUUAGCUAGUUGGUGAGGUAACGGCUCACCAAGGCGACGAUGCGUAGCCGACCUGGGAGGGUGAUCGGCCACACUGGGACUGAGACACGGCCCAGACUCGUACGGGAGGCAGCAGUAGGGAAUCUUCCGCAAUGGACGAAAGUCUGACGGAGCAACGCCGCGUGAGUGAUGAAGGUUUUCGGAUCGUAAAACUCUGUUGUUAGGGAAGAACAAGUACCAGAGUAACUGCUGGUACCUUGACGGUACCUAACCAGAAAGCCACGGCUAACUACGUGCCAGCAGCCGCCGUAA
rnacentral:rRNA from 1 species